rnacentral:rRNA from 1 species
UACGUAGGUGGCAAGCGUUGUCCGGAUUUAUUGGGCUUAAAGGGUGCGUAGGCGGCUUUGUAAGUCAGUGGUGAAAUAUGGCAGCUCAACUGUCAGGGUGCCAUUGAUACUGCGGAGCUUGAGUACAGAUGAGGUAGGCGGAAUUGACGGUGUAGCGGUGAAAUGCUUAGAUAUCGUCAAGAACACCGAUAGCGAAGGCAGCUUACUGGGCUGUAACUGACGCUGAGGCACGAAAGUGUGGGGAUCAAACAGG